rnacentral:lncRNA from 1 species
AAGAGAAGGAUGAAGAUAGAACGGCGUGUGGAAUGCUCGCUCAGCUUGUUUCUUGAGCAUCACAUCAGCCGAGUGACAGACAUGGCCCCGAGACCUUCAAGAAACCACAAUCCCUGUUAGAGCUGUGGAGUCUGAGGCAAAGAAUGAGAGAAGGGUUCUCCCCCACUGAGGAACGCGUGUGUAGACCAGUUUUGAUACUUCCUCCCACAGACUCUGCUUUCCUUCCUAAAGACAAACAUACAAGCAGAAACAUGAGAUUUGCACAUGUGAAAAGCGUGCUUCAGCUAAAGUAA